UACGAAGGGGGCUAGCGUUGCUCGGAAUGACUGGGCGUAAAGGGCGCGUAGGCGGCUUGCACCGUCAGAUGUGAAAUUCCUGGGCUUAACCUGGGGGCUGCAUUUGAUACGUGUGGGCUUGAGUGCGGAAGAGGGUCGUGGAAUUCCCAGUGUAGAGGUGAAAUGCGUAGAUAUUGGGAGGAACACCAGUGGCGAAGGCGGCUCACUGGACCGGUACUGACGCUGAUGCGCGAAAGCGUGGGGAGCAAACAGG
rnacentral:rRNA from 1 species